UGUCAUAGCCCAGCCCAUGGUCAAUAUUGUCCGCUUUGGGGCUCCAGCCCGUACGAGUACCCCCUCACGGUUUUGUUUUCAGGCAGGCUUUGCAACCCGCCCAAAAGGCCUCAACCAUGUUCUGGAACCACCCCUCUUAUGUACAGGACCACCCCCUCGUACUUAACCGAUGUGGGAUUUGCCUAAGGUGUGCUGGCCUUGCCACAUACACCCCCCCUUGGGGACUCAGCGUCCUCGCUGAGGUUUGCCCCACCACCGGCCAGAGGAACGAGGGUCGGCUCUGAUACCAAUUGUCAUAGCCCAGCCCAUGGUCAAUAUUGUCCGCUUUGGGGCUCCAGCCCGUACGAGUACCCCCUCACGGUUUUGUUUUCAGGCAGGCUUUGCAACCCGCCCAAAAGGCCUCAACCAUGUUCUGGAACCACCCCUCUUAUGUACAGGAACAACCCCUCGUACUUAACCGAAGUGGGAUUUGCCUAAUAAAGUUCUUUCUUUGACCAUGAUUUGUUCUGUAUCGUCUAACUCUUCAGAUUCGGAUUCUAUUUUCUCUACCUCUUCUGGCUUGGAUCAUGGCGUUUCAGCACUUCGGUGUCUAGUCCGGAUGGGACCUUGAUCUCUCCUUUGACGCCUUCUAUUGAUUCUCCAUAAAGUUGAUGUUGUUCUUUCUAUUUCUUGAUCUAGAGGCGCAACACCAACGCUUCUCGAUCUGACCAUAAAAGGUUAGUCCACAGAAAAAUAUAUAUUUAUUUUUUAUUUAUAUAUAUUUUUAUAUUUUUAUAUUUAUAUAUAUUUAUGUUAUAUAUUAUUUAUUAUAUACUAAAUACUAUAUAUAUUAUAUAUAGUUAUAUAUUAUAUAGAUAUAUAAAAGAAAAGGAAAAUUAAUGAAAAAUAAAAAUGCCGACACAUAAAUAAAAUUGCCUGAUUAAUUGUUUUUCAAAAUUUUCUAAUAUUAAUCACGUUGUCAAUCCCUGACAACGGCGCCAAAAACUUGAUACGCGCACCGGCUAAUGUUUGUUUAGGGCGAUUAUACCACAUGUAUUAACGAGUCGUAGAAGGAGUAUGUAAAAUAUUGUAUCCAUAGGGAUUGGAAGGAUUGAGUACUAGAAUCUUUUGAAUACUUAAUUAUCAGGCGAAAUCAAUAAAAGGGGUGAGUUAUGCAUAAAUUAAAAAUAACAAAAUGACAAGAAAUUAAACAGCAGGAAAGAAAAGAGUGGAAAUUAAAUAAAGUAAAAGUGUGAUAAAGUAAAUUGCAGAAAUUAAAAAGCAGUAAAAAAAAGAGUAGAAAUUACAAGAAAUUAAAUAACAUAAAAUAAAAGUUAGUGGUUAGUAGUUAAAGGUUAACAGUUAGAAGUUAGAGCUUAGCAGUUAGAAGUUAGAAGUGAGAAAGUAUUAUGGUGAUGGAUUGAUCCAUUACCAUUCGAAAGUGGGCGGCAACGAAGUAAAUACAGGCAAUAGAUUUUCUAAAGGGCGGAGUAUUCUAGUUAGUUAUCUUCUCUUUUGAGGUAGUCAACUAUAACAAUCGUAUGACGCUUUUCAUACGUUGCAUACGUAAUAAGCUUCCCCCUUUUAACACUAGCUUUAUCCUAUUUCUAGGUAUAAAACCAAUGCUCAAUUUAUGUGGUUUAGGUGCUUGAAAUUCAUCUUUUGAUCCUUUGCUCGCCUACCUAAUGUCAAGUAAAUAAAGGGAUCUGGCUUUAUUUUGCAAGUGUUUGUCUUGCAUAAAUUGAAUAAGAAAUCUAUAUCACAUUAUAGAUGAUUUAAUUUUGAAUAAAGUCGCUCAGCAUUCUGGAAGUGGUAGAUAUUAGUCCAUCCCAGAAUGGCUGGUUUACUACUCAUUUUAGAUAAAACAAUGUAAGGAACCAAGUAGUAAUCCAUAUCUUUUAUUAAGAGAAAAAGAACGGAGUUAUUGUCCUUUAUAAAGCAAAACAAAUGACAUAAAGAUAAUAGAUAAUAACAGAGGAGAAUGAUGGAUAAGGUAUGGCUUCUGUUGAGUCUGAGACGCUGUCGCACAACGUUCCUCUUCUGACCUCUGAGAUUACAAACACGAAAUUACGCUAAAUAUUUACAGAGUGAUAAAUUAUAUUCUAAUUUUUUCUUAGCUAACCAACCCUUUUCUCUGUUGCGUACAUGUUAUUUAUAGAACUCAGAUGCUUGGAGGCUACUCUUAUCUGUGCAAUUUGACAAGUGGGGCAAGUGGGCUCCGUCCAAUUAGAUUAUAACUAAGCAUGAACUGUCAUUCAAUGAAUGGGGACUUUUAGCCUUCAAACUGGUGUAGGUGCUCGCUUGAUUUGUCUUGGGUACAUAUGAGAUCACCUAACACCUAUAUGAGGCUGCGUGGAGUACUGUGUCAUCCAUAGGAGGUCGCCUAGUGCCUGUAGGAGAUUGCCUGGAUGGUAUGCUGGCCUUAGGAGAUUGCCUGGAUGGUGUUUUGGUCAUAGGAGAUCGCCUGGAUGGUGUUUUGGCCAUAGGAGAUUGCCUAGAUGGUAGAUUUGGCCUUAGGAGAUUGUGUAGUGCAUUUAGGUCGUCUCCUAGCCUCUCUUCCUUGGCUUAGGCAAUAGCCUAAGAUCCUUUUGUCUCUUUCCAUGUCUUAGGCGAUAGCCUAAGUUUACAUCUUAUUGGACUUGGGCUUUUCUCCUUUUGGGCUCAGUUCAAGGGCUUCUUUUCUCUAUAGAUUAACCUCAAUUUGGGCUUGUGAAAUGGGCUUGUAAUAUUAGCUCUCAAAUUUGACUUUUUGGGGUCUAUUUGCUAAUAUUUCCGUAGAUUUUAUAAAGACUACAUAUUUUUCUAAUUUCCAAGGUUCCUCCUUGCAUAAAAUUGUAAUUCUAUAAAUUUUCUAAGGUAAGUGCACAAAUAUUUUAUUAUUUAAUUUGAGGGGAUGUUGGUGUAAAAAUAUAUAAAUUUUUGUAUCGUAUCAACCACUAAUUAAGGAACUGGGAAGAUACUCGGAUUCUAAAUACUUUUUUUUGUAAUUAAUUUUAGAUUUAAUUUUCUAGUUUAGAGACUUUUGUCGUCUCUUAUACAUAGAACCUUAACUCCAUUAGGAGAGGAAGAAUCAUUGUUUUAGAAUAGUAGUUGCUUUUUUUUAGGUUUUGUUUUUUUUUUAUUUUCUGUGUUUUCUCCAUGGCCAUGCGUAGCUAAGCUUUUCUUUUCAGUCAAAGGUUGAAUUCAAAGUAUAAGUUCUUCUACGAAUUUGAGAUCUUAAUAUAUUUAAUUUCUUCUUUAAUUUCAUCAGUAUUUAUGCAUUUUCUGCAUAUAAUGAGAAACUCCAUCUCCAUUGUUAUCUUAUUAUUUAUGCAAUAUGGCCAAUUAUUCAAUUUAACAUGAUAGCAUAUCGUUAAUCAACAAGAUUAAAUCUGUCAUUGUUUAGUUGAGCUAAUUCAAGUAGCAAUCUAGUUUAAAUCCAUAAUUACAAUUAAUAUAAUCUAAUUGUAAGCAAGACUUUUGAUUAUAUUGUAAAAAUUCAUAAUCUGAUUUAACUUAAACCUCGCUUGUAGAGUUUGUUAAUUAGGACAAGGUCUUUCUAGUUCUUAUCACUAUUAGAAAAUUAAUUCUAUUGCUUGUUUAGGGUUGUUUGCUAGUUAGGGAUUAUCCAUAGCGCUUGUCUUGUUUAAUCCAAUAAUAUAGAAAGAUAUGACGCUUGGUCAAAGAUUAUAACUUGUUUAUUGCUUGAAAUUAUUGAGUUAUCCUAAUCAAUGAUCAAUCAAAAAAAUUUCAUACUAAGAAUUGUUUUUGACUAAAUUCAUCUCCGAUUGUUUUAAACUUAUUUCUUUCAUUGCAUUCUUUACUUAUUGAUUUUGUUUAAUUUACUCUUUACUAAAAUCCCCUUUUUAUUUAUUUAAAAAUUCUAGUUGUUAGAGAAUUAAUCAAAACUAUUCUCUAGGGUUCGACCCUUCUCACCCUAUAUAUAAGUAAUGUAGAUUGGGAAGAGUAUGAAUUAUUUUUAAUGGCGACAACCGUCAUAUUAAAAAAUAAAAACGAGUAUAAAUAACAAGUAAAAGUGGCAAUGCAUAAAAAAUUGAACGAGUACAAAUAACGAAUAAAGUCAACGUGCAACGCACAUCAUAAAAAGACUAGUAAAUAGAAAAGUAUAAAAAUUAAAUGAAAUAGAAAACAUAAAUUGGAUAGAUGAUGAUUUGACUUGUCACUUAUAAUAUUUGAACUUUGAUGACAUUUAAACUAUUAAAUUACUCCCUCUGUUCUCUUUAUUUAGAGAAAAUUUCUAUUUAAGGUGUUCCGAAAUUUACUUAAAAUGAAAACUUUGGAAAUGAUACAGUUGUUCAAAUUCUAAAAUACCUUCAUUUGAUUUGAGUCUCUAUGUUAAUUGUGUAGGUUAGCAAGAGAAAGUGUCAGACAAGAAAAAGGCUGGGCAUUUAAUGCCAUUGUAUAUCUAAAGCAAAAGUGAACAACUAUUUUAUCACAAAAUUGUAAACUACUGAAGAGUUAAAAAAGUGCUUAUAUUAAAAAUAUAUUGGACACAUCUUUUUUGCCUAUAGAAGUAUAAAUCAUUUAAAUGUGCUCAAUUUACUAAUAUGUGCUCAUUUUGUUAUAUCUCUCUAUCAGCAUUAUUUUAUUACAUACGGUAACAUGUAUUUGUAACGUUAUGCACCCUUUUUAUAAACUGUCUUCACAGAAAUGUUGAAUGUGGCCGAAAUUUUUUAAUAAUUAUGCUUAUUUAGGUUAUCUUGUUGCAUCUCAGCUAAAAGCAUGAUAGUUAUAGAAUUUUUGAUAGCAAUGUUUUUUUUUCCCUUUUUUCCUCUUAUCUAGAACAACAUUUUGGGAUUGACUAGUAUCAGCAACAAUCAAAACACCUUCUUAGUUAUCGGGUAAGCAGUUCAAGUCUGAUAGUUGGAAAGCAGCAGGCGCAUCUUCAAAAUAUGAGUCCAAAUCGAUUGGGGUGUCAUUAAGAUCAAAUAAAAAUGACGAAUUCAUAAGCCCUUAUUUUCAAAAACUAAAGAAAUGCAAUUACAUGUUUUAGGUUUGGUUGAAAUUUAUAUGUAGCCAUAUUGUAGAAGUUGAGGAGACUGUUGUUUUCACCAAAAAUUUUUGCUCCAAAUUUUCAUUAAAUUUGAGCGCAUAUUAUCGAAAAUGCUUAGUACUUGAUAUAAAUGCAGGAAAAAUCAAAAAUUUAAAUUGUAAAAAUCAAAUUUGAAAAUUUUGAAUUCUCAAAAUAAUUAUAGCAUUUCCUUAAAUAUUUCCUCAAUUUCGAGCAUUAAUUGCUGAAUAAAUGUGCCUUUGGGACUCUCUCUAUAUGAAUUGGCUCCAUCACAAUAAAAGAGCAAUUAAUGCAAAUUAGGGGUAUAUUAGGUAAAAAAUGAAAAAAAUAUUCAGUUUCACUAUCACCUUAAUUCCUUUGCAUUUUCUAUUUUCUCUAAAUAAAGAGAAAAGAGGGAGUAUUAGAUUAUAUAUAUAUAUUUUUUGUUUAAUACUAUUCUGUCUCAUAUAAAUAGGCCUAGUUUGACUUUCACAUGGAUUAAGAAAAACCAAUUAAUAUAGUUGAAUUAUAUUUUUUGUUUAGUAUUUUUUUUUCCAAAAUAUCCUUUAUAAUAUUAAAUGAUGGAUAUCAAUUGGGAAUAUGGAUAUACAUUAAGUAGGGUAUAUUAAGAAACUAGAUAAUAAAUGAUCGGGUUAAUUUCACUACAACUAUACGGGUAAUCACUUAAUAGGGUACCAACUUCAAGUUGUAAGUUAAAAAUACCUAAUCUUCUAUUUUUGUAACACUAAAAUGCCUUUUGACGCAAUUUAAUUUUUCCGUUGGCCGGAAUGCCACAUACACAAUAUGUGAAUAUUUUUAUUAAUUUUUUAAUUAAAAAUACCUCUCUUCUCCAACUCAUACUUAUCUCUCUCUGUACAAUCAAGUUAUAAAAUAUGGACAAAAUUCUGAAAAAUUCAGUGAUUUACAAGAUAUACACAAAAAUUAAAUAAAUAAUGCACUUCAAAUUCCAAACUCCUCCCCCACACUUAGUCCUCACAAUGUCAUUAAUGUAGAAUCAUCAAUCAAGCGUAAAGGAGUUUUCCACAACUAAAUAAUUGAGAAAAAAAAAAAGAAAAAAAGAGUAGAGAAACUUCUGUGGAGGAGUUUGUUGCUGCCCCUUUUUAAGCUGGUGGUGAAGGGAGGCUCGCCGAUAAGAGGAAGAGAAAAUCAAACUACAUUAGGGCAAUCUAGAAUGAAGAUGACUAAAAUAAUAUAGAAUAAAAUAAAGAAAAAAGAAAUCUGCAGAAAGAAUUGGGUUGCCUCCUAAUAAGCGCACUUGUUUAACAUCCUAGGCUAAACGUUCGCAAACUUCAAUCCUCCUAGACCUUCUAAAGUUCCAUUAUCUCAUAAGCUAAAGGAUCAAUGACAUCAACACCACAAAAACUAAGCACAUCACACGGAUAUUUAUAACAUCAUAUACAUUAACUUUAAUUAUUUCUCUAUUAAAUUCCAUACCAUCAUAAGCAUUUAUUUUUGCUCUAGCUUUUCUAAGAAAAGGUCUUCUAAGCAAAAGUCAGAUGAAGUAGAGGAUUCAUCAUCCUCCAUAUCUAGCACAUAAAAGUUACCUGUAAAAAUCAACCCAUCUACUUAUACCAAAACAUCUCCAAUACCCUUUUGGGAUAAACCAUGGACCUGUCCGCCAAUUGAGUUACAAUGGACAUUUCUUUCAAUGGACCAACAUUUAAAGAUGAGUAAAUAGACAAUGGCAUAACACUUAUUGAAGAGCCUAAGUCGCACAUAGCUCUUUUUAUUCCAAUAUUACUGUCAUAGCCCAGCCCAUGGUCAAUAUUGUCCGCUUUGGGGCUCCAGCCCGUACGAGUACCCCCUCACGGUUUUGUUUUCAGGCAGGCUUUGCAACCCGCCCAAAAGGCCUCAACCAUGUUCUGGAACCACCCCUCUUAUGUACAGGACCACCCCCUCGUACUUAACCGAUGUGGGAUUUGCCUAAGGUGUGCUGGCCUUGCCACAUACACCCCCCUUGGGGACUCAGCGUCCUCGCUGAGGUUUGCCCCACCACCGGCCAGAGGAACGAGGGUCGGCUCU
rnacentral:lncRNA from 1 species